UGGGGAAUUUUGCACAAUGGGGGAAACCCUGAUGCAGCGACGCCGCGUGAUUUAGAAGGCCUUCGGGUUGUAAAAAUCUUUUGUAUGGGAAGAAAAUGACAGUACCAUACGAAUAAGGACCGGCUAAUUACGUGCCAGCAGCCGCGGUAAUACGGAAGGUUCGGGCGUUAUCCGGAUUUAUUGGGUUUAAAGGGAGCGUAGGCCGUUUGGUAAGCGUGUUGUGAAAUGUAGGAGCUCAACUUCUAGAUUGCAGCGCGAACUGUCAGACUUGAGUGCGCACAACGUAGGCGGAAUUCAUGGUGUAGCGGUGAAAUGCUUAGAUAUCAUGAAGAACUCCGAUUGCGAAGGCAGCUUACGGGAGCGCAACUGACGCUGAAGCUCGAAGGUGCGGGUAUCGAACAGG
rnacentral:rRNA from 1 species